AGAUGAGAAAAUCAAAGCCCGUAUCAUCUGCUUCACGUCCCGCAUUUACUUAACGCUACCAGGCCUUCUUUUUCUUGAAGUGCUCUUUGAGCCUAUGUGGUUCCAGCAUGAGUCUCCUUGGGGGAUAUGUUAGGGGAUGCUGUCAGAACAACUACUUCUUGAGAAGUCCAAGGAACCGGCAGAAACCUUUACCAAAAAGAUGAUCAACUCAGAUACUGCUGCAGUGCAAAAGGACAGGCAAGGAGAAAGUAUUUUAAACACAGAAGGGAGUAAGGGAAACGGGAAGAAUACCACGUGCUUCUGCUAUGUCCUGUGUCACAGAAACAUCAGCAGCCACAACCAGACAGCCACACCCACCCCGGGAGCAAGAGCUGGGAAGAACCACAGCCCUGCGAGAGAAAUCUCACAGGCCAAUGGACCAAAAAGGGACAUGCAGUUUAAUAUUUUUCCUGCAAAAUGCAAUUUUAAAUAAUGACAAUAGAUCUAUAGAGAGAUAUAAAAUGAAAAAUCAUUUAUACCAAAUCUUAUGCCUCUUAUUCACUCCUUAACUCAUAUACUAAAAAUUCUUCAGCAUGCAGGCUCUGUAACAGGCCAUGAGUGUGCGUUUUUAAAACAGAAAGCAAAGCAGCCUAGCACAUUAUAGAAACUGGGAACCAGCCAGUACCACUACUCUUCUCCAAUCUACUUAGCUUUCUCAAAUGAAUUUUAGGGGAAAAGCAUAUUUUAAGGAACAAAAAUAAGUGUUGUUGCAAAAACAUGGGGCAAGAAAUUCCCCGAAAAGAUCUACUACAUAAAACUGCCUUAGAUAUCACAGUUCAUGCCAAUCAAAAAUCUUACAAAUAACUAGAUGGGUAUGUGUAUCAUCAGUAUGCUCUAGCUGUGCUGGCUCAUAGCACACGUUCAUGAAUAAACACAUGAGUGAGUGAAUGAAUGAAUGAGUUAAAGCUUAAGGGAACUCCCCUGAGAUUUUCAAUAUUGUCAUUUUUCAGUCGUUAAGUUGACGUGGUAGCAUAGUGCUAGCUAGUGGUCAUAUAAACUGUUAUGAGUCAGUAGCAUUGUGUUAUCAUACUGAUCUAAUUGUCUUUACUCUGCUUUUUCUCCACACGUAUUUACUUAUGAAUGCCAAGAGGCAAGGAAAGCUUAAAGCUCAAGAAUUUAAAUACAGAUUCCCCUUUGGGAAUGACGGAGAUGAGCUUCUCCA
rnacentral:lncRNA from 1 species